rnacentral:SRP_RNA from 1 species
UUGUGCUAGGCGGGGAGCUAGCGGUGCCCUGUACCCGCAAUCCGCUACAGCGGGGCUGAAUUCCCCCUCCCGGCUCAUCGCUACCGAGUCUGUCGCGGGCGAGCGGUGUUGACGAUACGGGUCUUGCGCGGCAGAGCCCUAUGAAUCCCGUCAGGUCCGGAAGGAAGCAGCGGUAAAUAGUGCGCUCUGGGUGCCGCAGGGUCGCCCGGUCUGAGCUAGCUGCUCGAGGCAAAUCGGCAAGUACGAGUCAAAAGGGGGUGCACGA